rnacentral:tRNA from 1 species
UCUUUGCUAGUAUAUCGGUUAGUACACGCGCCUGUCAUAAAUCCUCGUGCGCGCGAAAGCUGGGUUCGACUCCCAGGCAGAGAG